rnacentral:rRNA from 1 species
UCAGACGAUGCGUCAUGCAUAUCAAUAAGCGGAGGAAAAGAGGGCUAUUACCUACGCUUAGGAUGUUGACGAGACUGUCGAUCUCAUCUAUACAUGACUCUGUGCAUAUCAAUAAGCGGAGGAAAAGAAACUAACAAGGGAUUCCCCUAGUAACGGCGAGUGAAGCGGGAAGAGCUCAAAUUUGAAAUCUUAAAGGGUUUCCCUUUACGAAUUGUAGUUUAAAGAAGUGUUUUCUGUUGAGGUUUUGGUAAAAGUUCUUUGGAAUAGGACAUCAUAGAGGGUGAGAAUCCCGUAUUUGACCAUUUACUUUCAGCUUUGUGAUACACUUUCAAAGAGUCGGAUUGUUUGGGAAUGCAGUCCAAAAUGGGUGGUAAAUUUCAUCUAAGGCUAAAUAUUGGCGAGAGACCGAUAGCGAACAAGUACCGUGAGGGAAAGAUGAAAAGAACUUUGAAAAGAGAGUUAAACAGUACGUGAAAUUGUCAAAAGGGAAGCGUUUGACACCAGUGUUGUUUUUCUGAAAAUCAAUUAAAGAACUGUUUAUGCUAAGUUGUUUAGACUUUAUCAGCUAACUGUUUAGUUUUGAGCUUUUCUUUAAUGCACUUUUCAGUUAACAAGUCAACAUCAAUUUCUUUUGCUGUAAAAAAGCUUGAGGAAGGUGGCUUGAGAUUCGUCUUAAGUGUUUAUAGCCUCUUGCCUAUGCAGUCGGAGAGAUUGAGGUCUGCAGCGUAGAUCCUUCGGGGCUAAAUGCAUUUGUGCUAAGUUAUAGCAUUUUAUAGACAACUUGUUGACUAUGAUUUAGUCUUGUAGCUUACUCGCUUAUGCUAUUUUACCUACGCUUAGGAUGUUGAAGUCAUCGUAUCGCGC